AUUGAACGCUGGCGGCAGGCCUAACACAUGCAAGUCGAGCGGAUGAAGGGAGCUUGCUCCUGGAUUCAGCGGCGGACGGGUGAGUAAUGCCUAGGAAUCUGCCUGGUAGUGGGGGAUAACGUCCGGAAACGGGCGCUAAUACCGCAUACGUCCUGAGGGAGAAAGUGGGGGAUCUUCGGACCUCACGCUAUCAGAUGAGCCUAGGUCGGAUUAGCUAGUUGGUGGGGUAAAGGCCUACCAAGGCGACGAUCCGUAACUGGUCUGAGAGGAUGAUCAGUCACACUGGAACUGAGAAACGGGCCAGACUCCUAAGGGAGGCAGCAGUGGGGAAUAUUGGACAAUGGGCGAAAGCCUGAUCCAGCCAUGCCGCGUGUGUGAAGAAGGUCUUCGGAUUGUAAAGCACUUUAAGUUGGGAGGAAGGGCAGUAAGUUAAUACCUUGCUGUUUUGACGUUACCAACAGAAUAAGCACCGGCUAACUUCGUG
rnacentral:rRNA from 1 species